rnacentral:lncRNA from 1 species
CUUUCCUCGCCAACAUCAUCGAGCUCAAGACGUCUCGACUUUGUUUUAUAUUUUAAGAUUCAUGCCCGUACCUAAGCACUCCUCCGUUGUAUAGGCGUGCUUCUCAUGGGCGAAGACACAGCCUCCGUUGAGGGACGGUUUUGAACUUCUCUCAACUGUAAUAUUGUUUGAGUUUUUCGGCAUUCCAAGGUCGAGGAAUUUCUUUUCCGUAAAGAUCUUCCAAAUAAUAGGCACCGUUUUCGGUUUUGGCUCGAACACGAUAAGGUCCCUCCCAAUUUGCCGCGAGUUUACCCUCGCGAGAAUCUUUUUGGUUACGUCGGAGUACUAGUGUCCCAACGUCAAAUUCUCGCUUGAUGACCUUUUUGUCAUGCCGUUUUGCUAUUUUUUGUUUCAAAGUGGCUUCUCG